UGGCUCAGAUUGAACGCUGGCGGCAGGCUUAACACAUGCAAGUCGAACGGUAACAUGAAGAAGCUUGCUUCUUUGAUGACGAGUGGCGGACGGGUGAGUAAUGCUUGGGAAUCUAGCUUAUGGAGGGGGAUAACUACGGGAAACUGUAGCUAAUACCGCGUAGUAUCGGAAGAUGAAAGUGUGGGACCUUCGGGCCACAUGCCAUAGGAUGAGCCCAAGUGGGAUUAGGUAGUUGGUGAGGUAAAGGCUCACCAAGCCGACGAUCUCUAGCUGGUCUGAGAGGA
rnacentral:rRNA from 1 species